AGUGAACGCUGGCGGCGUGCUUAACACAUGCAAGUCGAACGAGAACGGAUUAUAGCUUGCUAUAAUUGUCAGCUAAGUGGCGCACGGGUGAGUAAUGUAUAGGUAAUAUGCCUCUUACUAAGGGAUAACAAAUGGAAACGUUUGCUAAUACCUUAUACUCCUUAUUAACAUAAGUUAAUAAGGGAAAGAUUUAUUGGUAAGAGAUUAGCCUGUAUUGUAUCAGUUAGUUGGUGGGGUAAUGGCUUACCAAGACUAUGACACAUAACUGGUUUGAGAGGAUGAUCAGUCACACUGGAACUGAGACACGGUCCAGACUCCUACGGGAGGCAGCAGUGGGGAAUAUUGCACAAUGGACGAAGGUCUGAUGCAGCAACGCCGCGUGGAGGAUGACACAUUUCGGUGCGUAAACUCCUUUUAUACGAGAAGAUAAUGACGGUAUUAUAUGAAUAAGCACCGGCUAACUCCGUGCCAGCCGCCGCUGUAA
rnacentral:rRNA from 1 species